rnacentral:tRNA from 1 species
CCUCACAGCAUCAGUAUCAGUGAUCUCCUUUCCAUACCGAUCCUCACAGCAUCAGUAUCAGUGUGUGUGUGUUUCCACGUCGGUGCCGUGUGACCUUUCUAAACGCGGUGAUACAAAUAGCAGGGUAAUAACGAACACACGCUGACAUUUACCCAGAAUGCUACCUGCAUUCCCCAGCUCACGGUCUGCUGUUGAAUGGGUUCAAAGAAACAUGCUAAUGUUGCUGUUUGUAGCCAGAGGAGAAUCGUGACCCACAAGAUUGACAGAAUUGGAUGGCCUGAAAAAAACAUUCAGUUAUAUACAUUUUAUAACCAAAAAAAAAAAAAAAGAGAGAGAAAAGGAAUUGAGAAGUCAACAAAAUACGUAGAAAUAUAAUAGAAGUUAAAUACUCCACAAUGUUUACCGACUGACAUUUAUGGAGGUAUACAAAAAUGUUGAAAUGGCCUUCCGUGUGGCUCAGUUGGUAGAGCAUGGUGUUUGCAACGCCAGGGUUGUGGGUUCAAUUCCCACGGGGGGGCCAAUACAAAAAAAAUAAAAAAAAUAUGCAUGUAAUGAAAUGUAUGCAUUCACUACUGUAAGUUGCUCUGGAUAAGAGUGUCUGCUAAAAUGACUAAAAUGUUAAAAUGUCCAGGACAUCCUGUGGAUGUGUCCUUGGACUGCGUUGUCAUGCCGAUAGCUGUGUACUGUAUGGACAUCCUGCUGAUUGGUCCUUGGGCUGUGUUGUCAUGCCGAUAGUUGUGUACUGUAUGGACGUCAUUGGUCAAGGACCAGGGUACAUUAUGACUGAGGCUGUGUAAAAGGUGAGAAGAUUGAUGACGAGCUAAAAGUGUUACGCUUUUCCACUUUAUACAUUUAAAAGUUUUAAAAUCGCUAGUCAGAAAAGUCCGUAUAGCCUACUCCUUUUAGACUGAACGAAGGAGGAGGGAGAACAUGAUGCUCCUUCAUUGUCUCCUGUAAGGGAAUUUCCACGUCCUAAAAGAGGUAAUGUAAUGUAAGAGGUAAUGUAAUGUAAGAGGUAAUGUAAGAGGUAAUGUCAUGUAAGAGGUAACGUAAGAGGUAAUGUGAGGGGUCAUGUAACGUAAGAGGUAAUGCAAGCGGUAAUGUAAGAGGUAAUGUAAUGUAAGGUCUCAUGUAAUGUAAGAGUUAACAUAAGAGGUAAUGUGAUGUAAGAGGUAAUGUAAUGCAAGAGGUAAUGUAAUGUAAGUGUCAACUUAAGAGGUAAUGUAAUGUAAGAGGUAAUGUAAUGUAAUGGGUAACAAUGAGUUGAAAUAUAAGAGGUAAUGUAAUGUAAGAGGUAAUGUAAGGGGUCAUGUAAUGUAAGAGGUAAUGCAAGAGAUAAUGUAAUGUAAGAGGUAAUGUAAUGUAAGUGGUCAUGUAAUGUAAGAGUUAACAUGAGAGGUAAUGUGAUGUAAGAGGUAAUGUAAUGCAAGAGGUAAUGUAAUGUAAGUGUUAACUUAAGAGGUAAUGUAAUGUAAGAGGUAAUGUAAGGGGUCAUGUAAUGUAAGAGGUAAUGCAAGAGGUAAUGUAAGAGUUAACAUAAGAGGCAAUGUGAUGUAAGAGGUAAUGUGAUGUAAAAGGUAAUGCAAGAGGUAAUAUAAUGCAAGAGGUAAUGUAAUGCAAGAGGUAAUGUAAGAGGUAAUGUAAUGUAAGGGGUCAUGUAAUGUAAUUUAAAUGGUAACGAUGAGUUGAAAUAUAAGAGGUAAUGUAAUGUAAGAGGUAAUAUAAGAGGUAAUAUAAGAGGUAAUGUAAGAGGUAAUGUAAUAUAAGAGGUAAUAUAAGAGGUAAUGUAAUGUAAGAGGUAAUAUAACAGGUAAUGUAAUGUAAGUGGUAAUAUAACAGGUAAUGUAAGAGGUAAUGUAAUGUAAGAGGUAAUAUAAGAUGUAAUAUAAUAUAAGAGGUAAUGUAAUGUAAGAGGUAAUAUAAGAGGUAAUGUAAUGUAAGAGGUAAUGUAAUGUAAGAGGUAAUGUAAGAGGUAACGUAAUGUAAGAGGUAAUGUAAUGUAAGAGGUAAUGUAAUGUAAGAGGUAAUGUAAUGUAAGAGGUAAUAUAAGAGGUAAUGUAAUGUAAGAGGUAAUAUAAGAGGUAAUGUAAUGUAAGAGGUAAUGUAAUGUAAGAGGUAAUAUAAGAGGUAAUGUAAUGUAAGAGGUAAUGUAAUGUAAGAGGUAACGUAAUGUAAGAGGUAAUGUAUUGUGUGACAACCCUCCCACUCUGUCUGCCAUAUUCUCUCUUUCCAAACUUUUGGAACGGUAGCGUGAGUAUUCAGACUCUUUGCUAUGAGACUCGAAAUUGAGCUCAGGUGCAUCCUGUUUCCAUUGAUCAUCCUUGAGAUGUUUCUACAACUUGAUUGGAGUCUAAAUUAAAUUGAUUGGACAUGAUUUGGAAAGGCACACACCUGUUGACAGUGCAUGUCAGAGCAAAAACCAAGCCAUGAGGUCAAAGGAAUUGUCCGUAGAGCUCUGAGACAGGAUUGUGUCGAGGCACAGAUCUGGGUGAAGGAUAGCAAAACAUUUCUGCAGCAUUUAAGGUCCCCAAGAACACAGUGGCCUCCAUCAUUCUUAAAUAGAAGAAGUUUGGAACCACCAAGACUCUUCCUAGAGCUGGCCGCCCGGCCAAACUGAGCAAUCGGGGGAGAAGGGCCUUGGUCAGGGAGGUGACCAAGAACCCGAUGACCACUCUGACAGAGCUCCAGAGUUCCUCUGUGGAGAUGGGAGAACCUUCCAGAAGAACAACCAUCUCUGUAGCACUCGACCAAUCAGGCCUUUAUGGUAGAGUGGCCAGACAGAAGCCACUCCUCAGUAAAAGGCACAUGACAGCCCGCUUGGAGUUUGCCAAAAAGCCACCUAAAGAACUCUCAGACCAGGAGAAACAAGAUUCUCUGGUCUGAUGAAACCAAGAUUGAACUCUUUGGCCUAAAUUCCAAAUGUCACGUCUGGAGAAAACCUGGCACCAAAAACUCUAAAAUUCCAGGAGAGUCUCUGGCCACAUGGCCCAUAGAGAGACACAGGAAAUUCUUCCAACUCAUAGAAUUGGAGAGCCAAGCGACAUUUUGUGUUCUGGAGAAGGUAUGGAAGAUUGGUGAAGAAUCCAGCUACGAACUGAUCCGCUUGGUACAAUUUUGUGAUACUCAGAAGAGACAAUAUAGCCAUAUUACCAUAAAACUGUUUAUAUAAUAGCAUCAUAAUGGUUGUAUAGAAUGUACUAAUAAGGAUAAAGCUUUUGUAAGACAUUGAGAUGCUAUGUACUGAUGUAAUGUGAUAGAAUUGUAUUUCUGUAACCAAAUCUAACUCAGUCAUAGGCACGCCCCAGGGACACAUACAGGAACAGGCGUCAUUUGACCAGUCUGUUCGAUGGGCACUAUAAAACACUCCCUGAUUUACAUUUCUCCAGACCAGGCCUACACUCCGUUGGCACAUAGGUUCUACCAUCUAAUUCCUCUACUGAAAGUGAACCAUACCAUGUGGUUAACUUUUAGACUAUUGAUACCGACAGAAUAAGAACAAGUCUUUGAUAUUAAUUAUUAGUCUGCAGCUAAGUAAAUUAUAUCAUCGAACGCGAAGACCAACGAAACCACCAUUCUAUGACGACAUUAAUGAAUGUCGCUCUGAAAGAUCCAUUCUAACCGAGAGAGAGAGAGAGAGAGAGAGAGAACGCGGACAAAACUCCCCAACAGAACUACUCUCCAACAAGAAUCAGAACGACACACUGAGCGUAAAUAUAUAUAUUGAUUGCAAUUGUUCCCGAAUGAGUGAGCCUUCAAUUGUCAAUUG